UACAGAGGGGGCAAGCGUUGUUCGGAAUUACUGGGCGUAAAGGGCGCGUAGGCGGCCUGCUAAGUCGAACGUGAAAUCCCUGGGCUCAACCCAGGAACUGCGUCCGAUACUGGUUGGCUUGAAUCCGGGAGAGGGAUGUGGAAUUCCAGGUGUAGCGGUGAAAUGCGUAGAUACCUGGAGGAACACCGGUGGCGAAGGCGACAUCCUGGACCGGUAUUGACGCUGAGGCGCGAAGGCCAGGGGAGCAAACGGG
rnacentral:rRNA from 1 species